GACGCACGGCUGGAGGAAACCGCCGGCCUCGCUGCGGCCAUCGGCGUUGAAGUGGUCGAACGGCAGGCAGUGCGGGUUCGCACCCCGCGUGCGGCU
rnacentral:tRNA from 1 species